rnacentral:misc_RNA from 1 species
UCAUACAAAUUUUUGUAUGAAUUGAAAAAUGAAAGCUUCCGACCGAAUCAGAGCCGUCAUGAGCUUAUGAUGUAAGCAAGUGCAGGUUUGAAGGUGUGCCAACCUCAUGGCCGUAUUUAUAGUCCAAGUGCCAAGUGGCACUUGAGAGACACUUAUCGAAGAACGACUUGAGUGACUUUUGACACUUGAGAUAGAAGCCAUUUUAUAGUUACAACUCGAGAGUGACUUGGAAAAGUGGCCGUUAAGUGACGGAUCAUAGGUCAUAAAUAAAGACAAGUUUGACGGAUAAAGCGAAUUUUGAAGAGGCCGUUGAAGUGUAAACAGUAAUUUUGAACAGUAGUAAACAAAUGGAGCGCCAGAGGAGAACCGUAUAUUCAGCUAGACAGAAGACGCACAGUUCUGUAAUCAUCCAUCAUAAUAUAUUAUUAUUGUAUAUUACAUAAUGAGAGUUGUUUUCGUGUAAGCGUAAUUCUAUUAAGCACUUAUCACUUGACCUACCUGGAAACUGCCAGUAGCAUAUUAUAUCACCUUAAUGUUAUCUGAAGCUGCAAAUGAGCAGGAAUAGGCAAACCUCAUCUAGAUGCACUUCCAAUUCUACUUAAAGCUAAAGGUACAGCUAAAUACAUCGAUAACGGUUUUUUUCCGAAACCGAUUUCUGAACAAAUUUCUGCUCUCCGUAGAACUGGAAAAAAGAUCUUGCAUAUCUCGUAUGUAUCUCUUUGGAACCCAUUCGUGCAUUUCUUAAUCAACAUAUUGCAUACAUUCUGCCAAAUCGUCCAUAUUAAUAAUAUAUUUAACAAAACGUGUGAAUAACAAAUGGUAAUUAUUAGCUCAACUAUGACAGAGUUCACUAUUUGGCGCCAGAAUGGUUAGGUUAGAAAAACACACUCAAGGGUCCUAUACUCCACACUCAAGUCCAAGUCGCCCUUACACGUCAGCUGAUCUCAAAGUGACUACUAUAAAACGCAUUUUUCAUCAUGACAGUCACUUGAGUGUUCAGUGUCACUUGAGAGCCGUCUAUAAAUACGGCCAUCAGGUAUCCCAGGACCGGUCUUGCAGGAUAGUUGUCUUCAUCUAUGGGACCGGUUAGUCAACACUCAACACGUUUCCAGCGUGGGUGCUGAUUUGCAUUUGUUGCUAGGCGUCUUUCUGACAUCAGAGAAAGUCGCUGUUUCUUGCACAUUUUUUGCUUUCUGCCACCAAUAAUUUGUUUUAACAUGUGUUUAAGACCUUAUCGUGUGCCAAUCAGUGCGAUGAAAGAUGUUCUAGACGGUGUCCACGUCCUAGAGAUGAAAAUUUGAGAAGAAUUUGGAUGUGAGCAUUUAUUGGCAAAAUUGAAAUUUUGUAGUGUAUUUAUGUGCUCUAGACGUUUCCACGAUGUGUGUUUCAACAACUCCCUACAAAAUACCUCCCAGUUUGUAGGAAUUUUUGAUAGAAUAAAAACGUGCAAGGAUACAAUAAAAACGUUCCAAGGUGCAGCUUCCAUAGAGAAUAGCUUCUAUCGAGACAGUAUACCACCUGCUAAAGGAUGUAUAACUCCCGGGAAAAAUCAAGAUGAUAUUCGUGUGGCUGUUCGGGAGUCCAACACCAUUUCGACCCAUACGAGUAUAUUGGAGUCCGUACUUAAGCCAGGAAAAGCAUAUCCUGAGAAAAGACGCUUGGUGCAAUCCAUAGCCGAACUGUGCGAUAUUCCUGGACCAUCGCAUGAAUAUGUUCAUGUCACAUCAAAUAUCGCCACAAUUCCGGGGAAGUACUAAUUCAACCUAUUAAUUUUUAGGCUCCUAAAUCCAAAAAAAAAUGUUUAUUUCCAUACAUCUACACCUACUAGAAAUUGGUGAUAGCCCCGUAUGGUCACAAUGUAGAAUGACCGAGGAAACCUACCUACCACCUAUUAGAGAUGGCAGACUCCCCAUCUCUGAUGAUCUCCUCGGAGGCGCCUCCUUAGAGCCUCUACACUCUCCCGGGUCGAAUUGUCUUUCUUGAAGUGGCGACGGAUCUUUGCCUUUGUGCAUCGGGUCCCCCUACAAUACUACUUCUACUACUACUUUUUACAAAAAGUUGCCAGUUGGACUAACUUAAACAAAUAAAAAAAAUAAAACAGAUUAGUAGAUCUUUCUCUGUGUGUAUUUCUUAAAAACAAUCGAUAGUGUGUGUUUGAGUUUUUAUCUUAAAUGAAUUGUUACGAUUUAAUUUCUGCUAAAAUCUAUCGAGAUCAUAUAACUUGUCAGUUGAUAUAGGGAAUGAUAGGAAACGAGUUCUGCGAUUUUUGCGCUUUAUCAGAUUGAAGGACGAUAAAAUUGGUUGAAAGUUGCUUAGGGAAAAUAGUAUUUCGGUUAAUUGACUUUUGCCAAAAUAAGUGUCCUCUUAUCAAGUAGUAGAGUGCUUCAAUAAUGGAUAUGAUGCUGCAGCCCAGAAAAAGCGAAUAAAUUCCUCCAAAAGACGCUAAAAUUAGUUAAAGUUUUUAAAUAAUUUUACUUGUUAGCUGUACUUACAUAUUAGAUAUAUUCCAGA